rnacentral:rRNA from 1 species
AAUAGAUACCCGGGUAGUCCACGCCGUAAACGAUGAGUGCUAAGUGUUAGAGGGUUUCCGCCCUUUAGUGCUGAAGUUAACGCAUUAAGCACUCCGCCUGGGGAGUACGGCCGCAAGGCUGAAACUCAAAGGAAUUGACGGGGGCCCGCACAAGCGGUGGAGCAUGUGGUUUAAUUCGAAGCAACGCGAAGAACCUUACCAGGUCUUGACAUCCUCUGACAACCCUAGAGAUAGGGCUUCUCCUUCGGGAGCAGAGUGACAGGUGGUGCAUGGUUGUCGUCAGCUCGUGUCGUGAGAUGUUGGGUUAAGUCCCGCAACGAGCGCAACCCUUGAUCUUAGUUGCCAUCAUUUAGUUGGGCACUCUAAGGUGACUGCCGGUGACAAACCGGAGGAAGGUGGGGAUGACGUCAAAUCAUCAUGCCCCUUAUGACCUGGGCUACACACGUGCUACAAUGGACGGUACAAAGAGCUGCAAGACCGCGAGGUGGAGCUAAUCUCAUAAAACCCGGUUCUCAGUUCGGAUUGUAGGCUGCAACG